UCCCCAUUCCCAUGGUUUUUAAGCAUGUCUCUUUUUUGUUUGGAAGCAGCUUCCUCCUCUUUCCGGUCGGACAAACCUUCCCGGGCCUCCGUCAGGAGUAUCCCCCCCCUGGACCAGCCCUGCUGCAAAGCCCUGUACGACUUCGAGCCGGAGAACGACGGCGAGCUGGGCUUCAAGGAGGGCGACAUCAUCACCCUGACGAACCAGAUCGACGAGAACUGGUACGAGGGGAUGAUCCACGGCCACUCCGGCUUCUUCCCGCUCAACUACGUGGAAGUGCUGGUGCCGCUACCUCAGUGAGCCCCCCCCGCCAUUCCCGCCUUUCCCGCCAUUCCAGCCACCGCCAGGGAACAACCAGAAGGGUCCCCCUCGGCCCCUUCCCUUCCCCCCCUCGGGAAUUUGGGGGUUUUGGUUUUUUUGUUUUGUUUUCUGUGUUUUUCGGGGUUUUUUUUUUUGUCCUCCUGGUGCUUGAACUUCGGUACUUUGCUCGUCCUCUCUCCCCCCACACACACACACACACCCCGGCACGGGCCUCUCUCCCUUCUCCAGGUUUUUUGGGGUUUUUUUCGUCUUUCCUUCGGGUCCAGCACCUGGAUGAGCCAGGUGGGAGAGCAGGGAGGUGUCCUGGGAAUGCAGGGAUGAGUCCUGGGAAUGCACAGCCCAGUGGGAGAGCAGGGAAGUGUCCUGGGAAUGCAGGGAUAUGUCCUGGGAGAGCAGGGAUGUGUCCUGGGAUACAGGGAUGUGUCCUGGGAAUGCAGGGAUGUGUCCCAGGAUGCACAGCCCAGUGGGAGAGCAGGGAUGAGUCCUGGGAAUGCACAGCCCAGUGGGAUAGCAGAGAGGUGUCCUGGGAUGCAGGGAUGUGUCCUGGGAAUGCAGGGAUGUGUCCUGGGAUGCACAGAGGCAAAGCAGCCCCCACCUCCCACCCCCCCGAGGGGCAAGACCCCCAAAGCCACUGAAGGAACACUACCCCCCUCUCCCCAUGGAUCCCAUCCCUGCAGGGCGAUCCCAGGGGAUCAGGGGAGGGGAAGCUCUGGCACAGCAACACUACAACCCCCAGCAAACACUAAGCCAGCCCUGCAGGGCAGGGGCUGAGCCCAGCCUGGGGGGCUGAGCCCUUCCUGGGGCUCUGAGCCAUUCCAGGGAUGCUGAGCCCUUCUUGGGGCUCUGAGCUAUUGCAGGGAUGUUGAGCCUUUCCAGGGGCUCUGAGCCAUUCCAGGAAUGCUGAGGUAUUCCAGGGAUGUUGAGCCAUUCCUGGGGCUCUGAGCCCUUCCAGGGAUGCUGAGCCCUUCCUGGGGCCCUGAGCCAUCCCUGAAGUUCUGAGCCCUUCCAGGGAUGCUGAGCCCUUCCUGAGGUUCUGAGCCAUUCCAGGGGCUCUGGGCCAUCCCUGGGGCUCUGAUCCCCCCCUGCCCACCCUGCAGGGACAGCAGGGAUGUCCCUGCCUGCUCCAACCCCCUCCUCCCUGCACAGCCCCACUCCAGAGGGAGAAGCUGUUCCUCCCAUCCAGGAUUUGGGGUUGGGGGUUUUUUUGGACCUCAGGUUUUUCCUGCCCCAAACUGUCUCAAAUUGUAGCUGGGGGGUGAUUUGGGGGGCAGGAGUUGGGGCACAGCCCGUGGUGUGCCCAGGGCAGGGCAGAGCAGGGUGUAGGUUGGGGCUCCUCUCCCCAGGGCUCUGCAGGUCCCUCCCUGCCCAUUCCCAGGGAUCCCUCAGCACCCCAUGGAUGGAGCUCCCCUGGGCCUCACGUGCCUUUCCUGUGCCCCCAGCCCUGCCCACAGUGACCCUCCCUGGUGGGCAACACACCCCUGUGCCCCCAUCCCUGUGCCCCCUCUGACCCUCUUUGGGGGCCCAACACACCCCUGUGCCCCCAAUGACCCUUUUUGGGGGCCCAACACUCCCCUGUGCCCCCAAUGACCUUUUUUGGGGGACAAAGCACCCCAUGACCCCAAUGACCUUCUUGGG
ensembl:lncRNA